ncrna:unclassified sequences RAGATH-18 RNA
CCUAUGGAGAGUACAAGAACUUGUAAGUAGUGAUUGACUUACCAACACGAAAGCAUACUCGUUGAAAUAGGAA